UACGGGGGGGGCAAGCGUUGUUCGGAAUUACUGGGCGUAAAGGGCGCGUAGGCGGUCUGUUAAGUUCGGUGUGAAAUCCCCUGGCUCAACUGGGGAACUGCGCUGGAAACUGGCAGACUCGAGUACCGGAGAGGAGAGUGGAAUUCCUGGUGUAGCGGUGAAAUGCGUAGAUAUCAGGAGGAACACCGGUGGCGAAGGCGGCUCUCUGGACGGAUACUGACGCUGAGGCGCGAAAGCGUGGGGAUCAAACAGG
rnacentral:rRNA from 1 species